GGACGAACGCUGGCGGCGUGCUUAACCCAUGCAAGUCGAACGGAAAGGCCCUGCUUUUGUGGGGUGCUCGAGUGGCGAACGGGUGAGUAACACGUGAGUAACCUGCCCUUGACUUUGGGAUAACUUCAGGAAACUGGGGCUAAUACCGGAUAGGAGCUCCUGCUGCAUGGUGGGGGUUGGAAAGUUUCGGCGGUUGGGGAUGGACUCGCGGCUUAUCAGCUUGUUGGUGGGGUAGUGGCUUACCAAGGAUUUGACGGGUAGCCGGCCUGAGAGGGUGACCGGCAAAAUUGGGACUGAGAGACGGCCGAGACGCAUACGGGAGGAAGAAGUGGGGAAUAGUGAAAAAGGGGCGGAAGCCUGAUGCAGCAACGCCGAGUGAGGGAGGACGGCCUGCGGGUUGUAAACCGCGGUCGCCUGUGACGAAGAGUGAGUGACGGUAAUGGGUAAAGAAGCAACGGCUAACUACGUG
rnacentral:rRNA from 1 species